AUACGUAGGUCCCGAACGUUGCGCGAAAUUACUGGGCGUAAAGGGUCCGUAGGCGGUCUGGUAAGUGGAAGGUGAAAGCCUGGGGCUCAACUCCAGAAUUGCCUUCCAAACUGCCGGACUUGAGGCAGGGAGAGGUCGGCGGAAUUCCCGGUGUAGCGGUGAAAUGCGUAGAUAUCGGGAUGAACACCAGUGGCGAAGGCGGCCGACUGGAACUGUCCUGACGCUGAGGGACGAAAGCCAGGGGAGCGAACCGGAUUAGAAACCCUAGUAGUCC
rnacentral:rRNA from 1 species